UACGAAGGGGGCUAGCGUUGCUCGGAAUCACUGGGCGUAAAGCGCACGUAGGCGGCUUCUUAAGUCAGGGGUGAAAUCCUGGAGCUCAACUCCAGAACUGCCUUUGAUACUGAGAAGCUUGAGUCCGGGAGGAGGUGAGUGGAACUGCGAGUGUAGAGGUGAAAUUCGUAGAUAUCGCAAGAACACCAGUGGCGAAGGCGGCUCACUGGCCCGGUACUGACGCUGAGGUGCGAAA
rnacentral:rRNA from 1 species